UGAGAUGACCUGGCCUCCACCCGACCUCAACCCAAUUGAGAUGGUUUGGGAUGAGUUGGACUGCAGAGUGAAGGAAAAGCAAAGUCAAAUAUUUAAAUGAUCCUUUGUAUGACCAUCUUACAACCAGGCCAAGCUGAGUAUGCAUGACCGGGCUCUGAAGGUGUCAGCAGUGGUAGAAAGUCUGGAGAGGGAGAUGGAGCUUCUGUGUUUGACUGGGGUUGAGGUCGACAUCAGGCCAACCCUGGAGCUCCUCAGCAAUGCUGGAAUCAAACUGUGAACGUACUGUUCAUGUUGGCUGCAUUUAUAUUGUGCUGUUGUUUCCAUGUACAGUAUAAUGUUAGCUGUGAAAAAGAGGCACUCCAUAGAAUUUGACUGGUCCUUGUAUAAUAUGAAAUGCUGCAAGAUGGUCCUUUGCGGAUACUCUGUCCCUGAUUCCUUGUCAUGGUUUUGUUUUCUGUUCAGAUAUGGAUGCUUUACUGGGGAUAAGCUGGAGACAGCUACUUGUAUCACUAAAAGCUCCCAUUUGGUGUCCAGAAAUGAAGAUUGGCACGUUUCUCUUUCUUUUUAAUGUUAAAAUAAUAAUCUCUCACUUUAUGAGUGUUUAAAGGGAUGAGGAAAUGGUCUUGUAUCUGUCCUUCCACUGAUUGUGUUGCCGGGCUCUCGAGCAGGUCUCCAACGGUGGAGAGGCCCAUCUGGAGCUCAAUGCCUUCAGAAGGAAACACGACUGUGCUCUGGUCAUCUCUGGAGACUCCUUGGCGGUACUACAACACAACACACUUCUCACAAGCCUCUCAAGAUGGUACUGUAGAUGCAGCCAAAAAUAUUCUGGUGUCAAAACUAAAACCUUUUGAGUCCAAAACCGCAAGAAGAGCAAAACAAACUACAUUUUAUCACUGUUGAUCUGAAGAGAUGGUACAGUAAGUAAUAUGUGAAUGUGCUUGUGGGUCCAGAUGUGUUUGCAUUUUCCAAAUCCAUAUGUUUAUCUUCCCACAUAGUCUGCGGGACUAUGAGCAUGAGUUUGUGGAACUGGCGUGUCAGUGUCCAGCGGUAGUCUGCUGUCGCUGCUCCCCCACUCAGAAAGCCCAGAUCGUCCACCUGCUCAAGCAGCACACAGCCAACAGAACCUGCUCCACCUAUGGCACAGGUUUUGUAACAACUAACCACUCUCAUCCUUUGAGACACAGACCUGCUACAAUGAUCUGUGUACAAUGAAUGCCAAAUUAUAAAAUAGAUUGUAGAAAAUGCCUACCAGUAAUAUACCUGUAUCUCACUAUUGACUACUUUGUUUUGAAAAUGAAGAAACUAGACCCAGUAUGAGAAGGUUAGAAGGCUAUUAUGUCCACAAUCAAAGAGCAUAAGCAUCUCUGUUAACAUUGUUUUGUCCUGGGGCAUAAGCCUUAUCUCCAUAUUGCUCUUUUACAUGCUAUUAUUGAACCUGUGGCUGACAUGUGGCUCUCUUUCUCUCCCAUGUGAUGGAGGUAAUGAUGUCAAUAUGAUCCAGGCAGCAGACUGUGGUAUUGGUAUUGAAGGAAAGGAGGAGAAGCAGGCACCCCUGACUGAAGAUUUCUUCAUCACUCAGUUUUUAAGCACAUUGGUCUGCUGCUCGUGGUCCACGGCAGGAACAGCUACAAGCGCUCAGCAGCCCUGGGCCAGUUUGACAAGCACAGAGGCAUUUGUUAAUCAGUAUUUACCAGAGGGUUGACAGGAUACUCCUGUAGCUUUCUGAGUUAGAUUUCCUUAACACAGUUCUAAUGAUGAAUACUAACACACAGGGAAGGGUGCUAAGAAACAUAAUGGAUAUUAGGAAUAUAACAGGUGUUGGCCAGGUGCACAAACUCUUAUAUCCAAAGGAUCCAUCCUCACAGUAUGGCAGCUUUCCUGAAAGCAAUCUGAAUGACGCGCAGCAUAGUGGCUAAACCACAUUUUUAUUACUCACUGUUUGUCCAGGCAACACACUUCUAUUUCAUCAUUUUUACUAUGUGCAAAACUUCAGUCCACUGUCCCCUGACUCUCAGACAGUCCUGUUUCUCAGUAGCUUAGGUUACCAAGAGUCAUCCACAGUUACAUCCAGACUUUUGUCUGUUCUGUAAAUCAAUAUUUCUGUAAUCACUAAGCCAUGCAGCGUGUUGAAAAAUAUCUUAUGUUCCUACUGAAGUGUACCUUCCUGACAGCUUUCGUUUUUUAAUUAAAGGCCUAAUACCAUUGAAAAACAGGCCAACCCCGUGUCUCCAGACUUACUGGACUGUCUGGUGUCUCAAUGAAUAACAGACUUUCAGUGAGCAUUGAAGGGGCAGCAGGUAGGGUAGGGACGUUGGGCCAGUAACCGAAAGGUUGCUGGAUCGAAUCCCUGUGCUGACAAUGUAAAAAUCUGUCCUUCUGCCCCAGAGCAAGGUAGUUAACCCACUGUUCCCUGGGCGCUGAUGAUGUGGAUGUUAAGGCAGCCUCCCGCACCUCUGAUUCAGAGGGGUUUGGUUAAAUGCGGAUGGCACAUUUCAGUUAAAUGCAUUCAGUUGUACAACUGACUAGGUAUCCCUCUUUCCCCAUUGGGGAUCAAAGUAACUUAAAAUAAAUAAACCAAAAUGUACAUAUUUCGUCCCCUAAAAGAAUAAACCAAUUAAUUGUAUUUUUAGGUCUUAUCAUCAUUAACUAGAAACAAAUUGAUUUUAGUUGAUUACUAGAAUACAUUCUAGUUGAACCAUUCUCUAGUUUCUUUCUCAAGCUGAUUAAACAGUUACUCAACCGCUACUACGUCAAUAACACUUCUUUGAGGCAUCCCCAGGUGGCAUCCUGAUGUACGGUGCACUGCUGUUGUUUGAGUCGGAGCUUGUACACGUGGUGGCCAUCUCCUUCACUGCGCUGAUCCUCACCGAGCUGCUCAUGAUGGCGCUCAACAUUUGUACCUGGCUCAUGGUGCUAGCAGAGUUCCUCAGUCUAGGCUGCUACAUAGCCUCGCUUGCCUUCCACAACGAGUACUUAGCCUUCCUGUGGAAGCUGUCAGUGAUCCCCGUCGUCAGCUGUCUUCCUCUCUAUAUCAUCAAAUACCUGAAGCGCAAGUUCUCACCACCCAGCUACUCUAAGCUGUCCUCAUAGCCAUUUUAAGCUCUGUCCUACUUACACGCUUCCUCAAAUUAUUUUUCUUAGUCUCUCUACAAUCCUUCUUUUCAGCGCUUCUUUCUGAUCCACAGUAAAGGGAAACUAAAGAGGUCAAGGAACCACUAGAAGCAAAAACAUGAUGAGAAAAUGUUCUGAAUUUGUCACUGGAAUGUGGUAAUACUUGAAAUGACUGUGUAAGCACAAAACCAAAAAGGGACUGAGGGAAGAUGUAAAAACAGAACAAAUUGCCCUUUGAUGCACUGGACAGGAUCGUUUGGGUCAAUUUGCCUUCUGUUUUAAAUUGUUUAUAACUCGAUGACUAUGCUUUCCGCAUUUAACUUUUUGUAUGUUUUUUAUUAUUAUUAUUAUUAUUAUUUUAUUACAUUGAACAUUACUGAGUAGAGAUACUAGUAUGGUGGUUUAAUUUGGAUUUCUAUUUGUGUUGUGAUUCCCAAGCACUGUAAAUACCAACUUAGCAUGUACAGCGUUUUACUACUGUACCCUGACACUUAACUGUACUUACCUAGGGAAAAGUCCAUGACUGGAACGAAUUGCAAAAAUCUCUGAAGCUGGAGACUCACAUCUACCUCACUAGCGUUAAGCACCAGCUGUCAGA